CACAUAAUCAACCAGUCGUCUUUAUCUAUGCUGUCGAAUUCGGCCAUAAGGCUUCGUCCCAGCUUCUUUUUUUUUUUUUAAGUUGAGAAAAAGGAAAGACGCUGCAACAGGUUUUGGUCGUUUUCAUAUGGAAUCACCCUCUUGGUUAAAAGGGGCUGGAUGUUAAAUUGACAAAUUUUUAUUGGAUGUAUCUAUCUGAAAAGAUACGACGUCAGUAUUUCAAAGAAAGAAAUGUCUUCCCGUCGUGGGAAGAGAAAGUAGAAGGAGAAGAAAGGGGAUUGCGAGGCAGAGAGAGACGAGUAGGGAAGAGGAAUAGUCGGGAAUAGUUUCCCAAUUUGGGGGCUUGUGGCUCGUUACGAUGUGGCGCGUAACAGUAUUGUCACGUAGCUAUGGUAUACAGGUCACAGUAUGGUAACCUAUCCUAACCAAACCUAUAACCUAUCCUAACAUUUUCACCUUGCGGCUUGCGCGCGCUCGCGCAUUCUAGUAGGACCAUAAAUGUAAAAUGUUACCUCCUGAAUCCUUGCCUGUGAGUCUGUUUGGAAUGGAACCUAUGUUCCGUUUGGUGUUGGGCUCUGUCUCUCUUACAGUAUUAUUAUUACUUGCACUUUUUUAAGAAUGUUUGUCAUCUCAUCAUUUUAAUUGUAAUCAGUUAAUUAAUUUUUAAUGGAUAAGAUAAGAAAAACCCCAUUUUUUGGUAA